rnacentral:misc_RNA from 1 species
CUCUCCCUCCCUCCCUCUCUAUCCCCCUCCCCCUCCCAUUCACAUCCGUUGCUGCUGCCCCUUGCAGAUCCCUCUCCACUUUAUGCUGAUCAAGAGCUGCUGCCUGCUGCUGCUCCCUUCACAUCCCUGAUGCUGCAAUUGGCUGGUGAGGAAAGCUGUUAUGGCCAUGAGGGCCGAUGGGGAUGGGACGGAGAUAGGAGCUUGGCCUUCCUCAAAUGCUGGCCGUCCUCAAGUUAUCCUUACGACAACACAUUGGCUUUCGAGUUGGGCUAUUCUCUAGAGGGAGGAGGUUCAGCACUUCAGCCCCUAGUUGCAACGGGGUCGCAAAUAUUGAUGAGGGUGGCCUUAGCGUUUUUUUCCCAGACGCAUGGGUGGCGAUCUAGGCUUCGGAUUGAUUGCCACUGUCAUUGUGACAUUUUGGUUUUUUCUAUCUGUAGUUGGCAUUAGACAGAGGUCGGAAGUUUUAUACCAAGGCGUUGUAUCCCCUUGAUGUAAUGUACUUGGUACUUUUAAUAUAAGCUUC